GGGUCAGUAGGUUUCAUGCUGCCUGGACUUUCCAAAAAGGAUGUUUGCUGACGGGAUGGCUUGUUGGAGGAGGAAGAUUCUGUAGAAAUUCAGUUCCCUUGUAUGUUCCCAGCCUCUGGCAGGAGUUGGGGAUAAAAUUGAGCCCGUGGUACAAUGGGGAGACAACAAAAUCUGGGCUGGCCUGCUGAAUGAUGACAGAGGAGUGGCCAAGUCACUCAUUGUUGUCCCAUUUGUCAGCCAGCCAGCCACCAGACAUGCAAGGAAGCAAAGCUUUGUGAUCUCAAGCAAGGUUUCUUAACUACUGCACUACUGACAUCUUGGACCAGGUGCUAAGAAGAAAAUAAACAGAGAACGUCUUGCAGUGGGCAGCCAUUUCAGGAGGUAAAUGCCGGGGGGUGGUGUUUGAACAGUGACGGAAGGACAUGAAGAAGCGAGCGUGUGAAGGUGUGGAAGAAGUACAAUCCAUGCAGAAGAACCAGCAAGCCUUCUUUCCAUCUGGCAGUAUUAUGCAAGAUUCGGAACGAAUCUCCUCCUCCUCUCUUGCCUCUUCUCUUUUCUUUUAAAAAACCAAUUGAGAUUAUUAAAACCAAGAGGCCCCUAUCAAAGUUCUUUUACCCAAAAACUUUUGUCAAGUAGAACUCAUAUCUGGCUAAGUCACCUCCCACCUCCAGUCUCUUCAUCAGUCUCUUCAUCUGUCCAAUGUGAGGGUUGAUCCAGAUGCUCAGAGGGUUUUACGGGC
rnacentral:lncRNA from 10 species